GUCCCCAUCGUCUAGAGGCCAAGGACACCGCCCUUUCACGGCGGCGACCCGGGUUCGAAUCCCGGUGGGGACGCCA
rnacentral:tRNA from 1 species